AAGCAUAUCAAUAAGCGGAGGAAAAGAAACCAACAGGGAUUGCCUUAGUAACGGCGAGUGAAGCGGCAACAGCUCAAAUUUGAAAUCUGGCCCUUGGGUCCGAAUUGUAAUUUGUAGAGGAUGAUUUUGGUGCGGUAUCUUCCGAGUUCCUUGGAACAGGACGCCUUAGAGGGUGAGAGCCCCGUACGGUUGAAUGCCUAGCCUCUGUAAAUCUCCUUCGACGAGUCGAGUAGUUUGGGAAUGCUGCUCUAAAUGGGAGGUAAAUUUCUUCUAAAGCUAAAUAUUGGCCAGAGACCGAUAGCGCACAAGUAGAGUGAUCGAAAGAUGAAAAGCACUUUGAAAAGAGGGUUAAAUAGCACGUGAAAUUGUUGAAAGGGAAGGAUUUGUGACCAGACUUUUUCUGGGCGGAUCAUCCGGGGUUCUCUCCGGUGCACUUCGCCCAGUAAAGGCCAGCAUCGGUUUUCGGCGUGGGAUAAAAGCAGUAGGAAUGUGGCUCUCUACGGGGAGUGUUAUAGCCUAUUGUAUAAUACCGCGCUGGGGACCGAGGUUCGCGCUUCUGCAAGGAUGCUGGCGUAAUGGUUAUCAAUCACCCGUCUUGAAACACGGACCAAGGAGUCGAACAUUUGUGCGAGUGUUUGGGUGUUAAACCCUCACGCGUAAUGAAAGUGAACGGAGGUGAGAGCCCUUACGGGUGCAUCAUCGACCGAUCCUGAAGUUUUCGGAUGGAUUUGAGUAAGAGCAUAACUGUUCGGACCCGAAAGAUGGUGAACUAUGCGUGGAUAGGGUGAAGCCAGAGGAAACUCUGGUGGAGGCUCGCAGCGGUUCUGACGUGCAAAUCGAUCGUCAAAUCUGCGCAUGGGGGCGAAAGACUAAUCGAACCAUCUAGUAGCUGGUUACCGCCG
rnacentral:rRNA from 1 species